CUUGCCCACCUGGCUGCCCUUAUCCUGUCACUUCUCUCCAUGAUCCAUUCCUUGAGUGGCCACCAGACCUAACGCUGGAAAAGGCCAGCCUAACUGUGUCACUCUCCUGCCCUCAGGGUAAAAUCAAACCCUUUAACUGGACCUAUACUGCAGCCUCUGCUGUCCACACUCCGUGGCCUCUUUAUGUCUCUGCACUUCCCCCCGCUCAAGACAUCACUUCCCCCUGGGCCUUCUCCCACCCCCUGGUCUGGUCAGGACCUCUUGGUCCCCAUAGCACCUCCCACUUCCCCGUGAGCCCAGAGACCAUGCAGUGAGGUCUCCAUUUUAGGGGCUGUCCCCCUAGACUGUGUGCCCCAAGAGGGCAGACUGUGCCGCCCUCGCCCCAUACUCAGCCCCUCACACAAGGCUUUGAACCCCAGAGGCGCUCAACCAACCUCUGGAGGGUAGUCAUAGAGCCUGGGGCAGUGUAGUGGACACCCCGCGAGUUCUGCUCUCGCCACUCUUGCCACUCUUCAGGCCCUGCAUCUCACGGCCACGUUUGGAACCACCCCUUCUUUCCAUGUGGAGGUUCUCCCAGGAUUCUCCCGACACUGAGCCUCCAUCGCCCCACCAGCACUGCACCCACCAGACGGACCAGGAGUCCAACUGGGCCCUUGCCUCUUAUCGUCCACUGCUGAGACAAGACUCAGAGUGACAUGAGGACCAGCCUCGUGACGCGCUCGUUAUGGGCUCCACUCCAACCCUUUCUCUAAGGCCCAAGGGACCUUGAGGGGGAGAUGGCCAUUCCCUCGUCCACACAUUCACUCAUUCACCUGUCCAUUUGGUCAGAUAUACUGCCCAGCCUUACAGGUCCAUGACCCUCAGUCUCAUAGAAGAUGUUGGAAUUUUUCCUUCACAGCUCUGGUCCCAAUUUUGACCAAACAUUUAUUUGCAAAACUGCGUAUUAAAUGUCUGUCUCUCUGACUAGACUGUAAGCCCCAUGAGGACAAGGGUCACAUGUGGCCUCUUCACCCUGUGUCCCGAGGCCCAGGCAGAGCCCUGCAGAGAGCAGGCGCUCAGGAAACAUUUUCGAAGGCCAGCGUGCACGCAUGAAUGAAUGAAUGAAUGGCCCUCUAACAUAGAUAUGAUCAUUCCCACUUUUCAGAUGGGAGACUAAAGGCUCAAAGAGGUCAGGCGGCUGGCCUCCACCACCACACCUGGGCAAGGUGGUGCUGGAAUGUGAACCCAGCCUGCCUGCCUCCCUGGCACCUAGGCUGGGCCUACACACUUAGGCCAUUCUCUCUGGCCUGCAAGGUAGCAUUUUGACUGACCUGGAGAUGGAGAGUGACAUCCUGGUGUCUUCAGAAGCCCUUGAAGAGGAGGCCAGGGUAGACAUGGUCGCCCCUGAGGCCUUUGCCCAGCCCAGCCGCAUGGGGAAGUCCAUGAUUGAAGACCCAGCCACGGAGGUGAUCAAGAAGAUCCUGCAAUGUCCUGACUCAAAAUGCUCAACCCAGCAGUGUGACAACGUUCGGUCCCAGACAGGUACAGACAAACAGGCCUGUGGGUGUCAGGACACUGGCGGUGGGGAAGCUGGUGGUGCCACCUGCCACAUCCUCACGUCGGGUGCUCUGCUCUUCCCCUGCAUGAUUGUUACCCAAAGGCUUGAAGUGACACUGGAACAGGGAGAACAUUCCAUGAAGGCCUUGUCCAGUGCCAGUGCCACCUCAGCAGGGCGGUAGGGAUGCUGGGCUGCCCGGGGUCUCCCCUUCCCAGGCCCCUACCCAUGCCCCUAAACGGAGGCCAGAGACCACCUUGUUGCUUUACCAGACUCUGUCCUCAGAAUGCGCAGCCUGUGCUCACAGCUCUGAGACUCCAAGGGACCCAGCGAGGGCCCGGCUCUGACGCUGGCUUUGGUCAGAUCUGCUGGCUGACUCGGCUCACACGGGCCUCCACCUUGAGAACCUGUCUGAGUUCAGUGGUUUUCCAUGGUGACAGCUGGUGGAGCCGAGCCCUGCUACCUCCUUACACACAUCAUCCUGGUCAGAAACGGACAUUGGAGAUGCAUUUCUUUGGGUUGCAUCACGGAGCCGCAGGAGGAGUCCUGGGCCUCUGCAUCCUGGCCAUUGCUCUGUCCACUGUGCCCUAUGGUGUCAUUAGACUCAUAGCUCAGUGAAUGUGGGCCCUGGCUGACCCCUGACUCUGAUGUUACAGAAGGUGGAUGACAGAAGCCACAUGGCUGAACGGACUUUCUGGGUCCUCUGUGGGCCCUCGGUGACAUGGCUUAAUUCCUGGUUUUCAGGAAGUUGCAGUGAGGAAAUUCCUGCUUUGUAAACCUCCAGAAGGUCUUUUUGAACACAGAGCCAUCUGCAGUGUGGAAAUGAACACCGCCAACCAAAUGAGAAAGGCAAAGGCUAUUUAUUCAGAGCUUGCUCCCGCAAGGGAGGCAGCCGCCAGCACCUGCAUUUCAGCAGAGCCUCAAAGGCAGGCAGAGGAGUGGGAAAGCCGUCCGGGGGAGAAAAGGAAGGCUCCAGGUGUGCCCUGCGUGGAGGCUGGAGGCCUGGGGAGGCUGGAGGCAGGCCAGCUGGCAGGGGUUUCUACGUGACUAUUUAGGGCACCUACUCAGCCUUCUCUGGUUAGUCCUGAGUUGGAAGCAGGGACAAAACUUAGGGACGCUGUCAGUUCUUAAUCAAGUCUUGGACAUUUGGGGCUGAUUGUUACAAGAGUUAUUGUUUAGCUUUCUGGACUGUCACUAGAGGUGACAAUCUGGCUUCCUGCGAGUCUGCCUUCUGGCAGGCUGGCUUCCUGAGCUGUUUACUGUAAUAAGGAGCUCGCUUCCUGGGCAGUUGCUGCAGGCUAUGGGUCAGAAUUCUGUUUUCAUCUGUAGUCUAGCCCUUGUCCACUUGUGGAUUCAGUCUCUCAGCUGUUACAGAAUGAAGUCCCUCUUGCUAGAGCUGCCGGAUAAAACUUCAGUAUGCCCAGUUAAAUAUGAAUUUCAGAUAAACAACACAUAAUAUUUUUAGUACAAAUGUGUCCCAAAUAUUGCAUGGGACAUACUUAAGACUAAAAAUUGCUCAUUGCCUUUGUGAAAUUCAAGUUUAACUGGGCGUGUUGUAUUUUUAUUUGAAAAGCUAGCAGCCCUACAGGUGGCUCGCCGUGUUUUCUUUGGGUCCUCACCACAGGGAAGCAAGGAUACAGGUUCCUGGCCCCUUGCCCCCUCAGCGGCCUUGGGUGGGUUUAGUGUAAAGGCUUCAUCCCACGGCAAGGUUGUCUUCAGGGCUGUCGAGGAGCAGGGGGGCAUCUCGAAGGGCUCGGCCCCAGACCUGGGAGUCAGGUUGCCCCACGGCAGGCCCAGCGCCUCUAGCAAUCCAGGGAGGGCUCCCACAGGCUCAGACCUACCUGUGUCUGUCCCCAGCCUCCAGAACACUGACCCACCUUUGUUCCCCAGCAUCAGUCGGUACUCCAAGCCCAACCGGACAGACAGAAAAUACCAGGUACUCGGGGACAAGCCACCUCCUCCGGCUGAUGAUUAAAACAAAAUCUGUUCCACUUAAUAUGGCUACAUCUCAGCAAACAAGCAAAAUGUCAACUUCAACUGAAAGCACUCCAAGAAGGUUGAGGUCUACAAUGGGCCCCGUCCCUCAGUCAGGAAGCCCACUGUCACAGCGCCCCCACUCACCAGUCGUCUUGUCCACGGCUCUCGCCUCUGGGGUUCUGUGCACCGUGCAGAGAAGGGCGGCUUUUGCAUCAGGUGGCCCUAGUU